UAUUUAAAAGAAAGUUUUGUUCGUAACGCUACCGGAGUUCGCCUUAUCUAACGCUAGUCCACGAUCUGGUGUGAGCCCACGCCCUCAUCCUGAACCCCGUCCGAGCUACAGUAACAGUCAUAUCAUCCUAACAAGGAAGAACAAAUUAAGAGUUAAGCAAACUCCAACAAGUUGCCGUUCACUCACGCAAGUCAGACCGAUUGGAUUUCAAAAGGGGGGGAAAAAACCUGACACAGAUAUCCUGCUACAAAAAAAAGAGUUAGAAACCAUCAAAACAACACUUGAAGAUCAAGCAUGCUGAUAAACCAAAUGAUUGCAGCUAUUUUGGUGUUUCCACUCAUGGAUCCCCACAUCUACAAGUUCCAGGGCACACAGAAAAGUGACCUUUCCCUCUAAGGGGACGAGUGGACCCAAACCAUGCCAGGAAAAUGCCCCCCACAGCAUAACAGAGGCCCCAGACCCCCUCACUGUAGGGGUCCAGCAUCCAGGAUUUUCCUUUUUAUC